GCUGGGAUGGCCGAGUCGUUAAGGCGAGUGAUUUGAAUUUCAAUCAUCACUUGGUGUUUCACCGCGUAGGUUCAAAUCCUGCUUCCAGCG
rfam:Termitomyces sp. J132 unplaced genomic scaffold scaffold45, whole genome shotgun sequence.